rnacentral:lncRNA from 1 species
GGCAGUGCGGACCAGAGAGAGGAGUUGUUGCCCGCAGGGUGCCCUUUGAAGACUGCCUUUGCCACCAUCUGCAGCGCGUGGGGCAAGAUAUUAGAAUGGCAUCAGUGUUUGCUUUCACUAAGAGGAAGCGGAGUCCUGGGAGAAAGAGCCGCAGCCUGUGAUUGCACAGCCUUCCCUUGAUGGUACCUUUACCCUGGCAUGUGAGCUAUCAGCCGACUGGGGAUGCUUUCAAAUGAGACAGGAAACAGUUUAGGUGACAAUGAGAAACUCUGGUCUCAGUGGGAUGGAAAUAGAGCCUGGAAGAAAUGGGAAACUUUAAUAUCUGGAUGGAUUCCUUAAACAGGUAACAGAAACUAUAGCCUGAAAGCCAAACUGAUUUUGAUUGACAAGAACCGGACUUUAAGGGGGAAAUAAUAAAAUACAUUCUUAGGGACUAAAGAAGAUGGGGCUUGACUAUGAAGAACUAAGCUUAGAACACUAUGCACGAGAUUUGUACCAAACACAUUAAAGGAAAAAGAAAAUCUAGACGACAUCAUAAUUUCCCCGCCACGCAAAAAAGAAAUGUGAAGGUAGAAUUCGGCUGAUUUGAGAAUGCUGGGGGAAGACGGAAAUGUGCGUGCUCUGCAUGCCCCAGAAAUCUUCACACCUUUUACUCCUUAUCCACUGAAUGCUAGGGAAGAAGAAGAAGAUGGAACAGAUACUUCGAGGGGAUCCAGCAGCAGGAA